rnacentral:rRNA from 1 species
AUUGAACGCUAGCGGGAGGCCUUACACAUGCAAGUCGAACGAGUGGCGGACGGGUGAGUAAUAUAUCGGAACGUGCCUAGUAGCGGGGGAUAACUACUCGAAACAGUGGCUAAUACCGCAUACUAUGGGAGCGGCCGAGAUCGGAUUAGCUAGUUGGUGGGGUAAAGGCUCACCAAGGCAACGAUCCGUAGCGGGUUUGAGAGGACGACCAGCCACACUGGAACUGAGACACGGCCCAUAUUCCUACGGGAGGCAGCAGUGGGGAAUUUUGGACAAUGGGGGCAACCCUGAUCCAGCCAUCCCGCGUGUAUGAGAAGGCCUUCGGGUUGUAAAGUACUUUUGGCAGGGAAGCGGUAUCUGCAGAAUAAGCACCGGCUAACUACGUGCCAGCAGCCGCGGUAAUUC